CAGUUUCCUCCAAGGCUGCAAUUUCCUCUUCUCUUCGGAUGGAUUGAGGAGAAACUGCUUUCUGCAAAAUCCACAGAUUAUGUACAAAGCUCCCCAACCUACAUAGGCAUCUAGUCACUUUGAGGUAAAUCUGAAUAACCUUCGUAUCUUCAUAUAUGUGACCAAACAAGCUGAAAUUUGGGGAAAUGCAUGUCCACAUGUGGCAGAUUCAAACCAAAAUAAAAUUGAAAUGCAUAUCAAGAAUCACCCUUAGACAACAAAUUGCUGCAAUGAGCAUUAGCAGUGAUAAUAUUGAGAUGCAAUGUACUCUGAAUUUUCUAAACUACAGUACUUCAUCUUUUUGACAGGCUGGUGUUUUUUGAGAGGUAGGAGCUGGUCACCAGACUUCCAACUCUCCAGCACAUUUGGCAAGCUGCCUCCUCCUGCUGUCGAUCACUGUUCCAUCACUGUUGUGCCUGAUGCUUCAAAAUGUUAGGAUUAUGGCAGCUCCAGGUCUUCUAGCAAGUCAGCUGUGUUUCAUCUGUUUGCACUGCUCGUUCACCUCCUUGCUACUUUUCCUCAGAAGCAAUAGUGUAAAGACCCAAAAUAUGAUUGCCAUCCUGAAGUGGCCCUGACAGAGUCAUUGGAAGAANGCAGUGGUGGGAGCAGAGAAGAGCUUAGGCAGCAAUUAGCACCAAAGGAGGUAGAGAUAACCCUGUACUCAGCUACUGCCUUAACCUGCAUCUCCAUCCAGUUAAUCAGACUCUGAUAGAGCAGUUAUUUCUGAUGUAUAGGCUAGGGAUAUGAAUCUUUCCUCACUCUUUGAUAGCUACACUCCUAAUCAUAUGCAUGNGUGAAUUGUGUGUAUUUAUGUUUGCACAUGUUUGCAUUGUUUUGAAGACAUUUCAAAGAACCACAAUUUUCAACAUAAAUGUAAUCUGAGCUAAUAAGUGUACCAAAUGAAUCUGGAGACAGAGGAAGAUUGUAGGUAUACAAGCAAAUUCGCUAAUGAAAAAAUCUUGCC
rnacentral:lncRNA from 1 species